CUCUAUCUUAAGUGUACACAUAGAAAGACUCUUAGGUUUGAAGAAGUUGCUGACCCCUGCUCGAGAUUAACAUACAAAAGGAGCUGGGCCCUAAGUCAUCAGCCACCACUCUACAGCCACCCUGCUCUGAAGCCAGCAGAACAGAAAUCAAGGAGGCAUAGCAUGGUAUUAACAUCCUUAUUUCGGCACUGCUAGCAGGGCAAUACCUUCAGAGCUGGACACCAAGCCAACAAGUGCUGCUCUGCAACUGCUGAGCUCUGAAGAAAAUGCAGAACAAAAAGGUGACAAUGCUACUAAAAGAUCUACCAUUUGUGACCUCACUCUCUAUAUUCUACAGCAUGGUUUCUCAAACAUUUCUCCAUGACUCUUCUGACAACAAAAGUCACUACAUGACCUCAGGAGAGGUGAUAGAAGCCUGAGCCCAUCUGAGCCUCACCACCCCAGACAGGAGGGCCAAAGCCCAAGAGCCUCAUCAGGCAAAGCUCCUGAAACCUGAGCCCCACUACCCAGAGCUGAAGCUGAGACU